UCGGAAGCGAACGGGAGCCCAUGUUGGAGGCUGAGAGGGUGGCAACAAGGCCACCGACCGUCUGACCUGAUCCGGGUAAUGCCGGCGGAGGCAAUGGAGUGAGCGGCAAG
rnacentral:ncRNA from 1 species